UACGGAGGGUGCAAGCGUUGUCCGGAAUCAUUGGGCGUAAAGCGCGUGUAGGCGGCUUGGUAAGUCCGUUCUGAAAGCCCGGGGCUCAACCCCGGGAGGCGGAUGGAUACUGUCAAGCUUGAGUCCGGAAGAGGCGAGUGGAAUUCCCGGUGUAGCGGUGAAAUGCGCAGAUAUCGGGAGGAACACCAAUGGCGAAGGCAGCUCGCUGGGACGUGACUGACGCUGAGACGCGAAAGCGUGGGGAGCAAACAGG
rnacentral:rRNA from 1 species